rnacentral:rRNA from 1 species
GAUGAACGCUAGCGGCAGGCCUAACACAUGCAAGUCGAGGGGCAGCACAGAUUGUAGCUUGCUACAAUUGGUGGCGACCGGCGAACGGGUGCGUAACGCGUAUGCAACCUACCUUUUACAGGGGGAUAACGGAUGGAAACGUCCACUAAUACCCCAUAAUAUCGAUCAAGGCAUCUUGAUUGGUCGAAAACUCCGGUGGUAAGAGAUGGGCAUGCGUUGUAUUAGGUAGUUGGUGAGGUAACGGCUCACCAAGCCUACGAUACAUAGGGGGACUGAGAGGUUAGCCCCCCACACUGGUACUGAGACACGGACCAGACUCCUACGGGAGGCAGCAGUGAGGAAUAUUGGUCAAUGGGGGCAACCCUGAACCAGCCAUGCCGCGUGCAGGAAGACGGCUCUAUGAGUUGUAAACUGCUUUUAUAGAUGGAUAAAUCAGAGUACGUGUACUUUGUUGAAGGUAGUCUAUGAAUAAGGAUCGGCUAACUCCGUGCCAGCAGCCGCGGUAAUACGGAGGAUCCCAGCGUUAUCCGGAUUUAUUGGGUUUAAAGGGUGCGUAGGCGGCACGGUAAGUUAGCGGUGAAAUCUCGGGGCUCAACCCCGAAACUGCCGUUAAAACUGCCGAGCUAGAGAUUAGAUGCUGUAGGCGGAAUGUGUAGUGUAGCGGUGAAAUGCUUAGAGAUUACACAGAACACCGAUUGCGAAGGCAGCUUACAAAUCUAAAUCUGACGUUGAGGCACGAAAGCGUGGGUAGCAAACAGGAUUAGAUACCCUGGUAGUCCACGCAGUAAACGAUGAUAGCUCGUUGUCGGCGAUACACAGUCGGUGACUUAGCGAAAGCGUUAAGCUAUCCACCUGGGGAGUACGUUCGCAAGAAUGAAACUCAAAUGAAUUGACGG